rnacentral:sRNA from 1 species
CAGGGGAAAUGCUGUCUGUAGCUGAGCACUUCCUGGAGCAGCAGAUGCACCCAACAGUGGUGAUCAGUGCUUACCGCAAGGCAUUGGAUGAUAUGAUCAGCACCCUAAAGAAAAUAAGUAUCCCAGUCGACAUCAGUGACAGUGAUAUGAUGCUGAACAUCAUCAACAGCUCUAUUACUACCAAAGCCAUCAGUCGGUGGUCAUCUUUGGCUUGCAACAUUGCCCUGGAUGCUGUCAAGAUGGUACAGUUUGAGGAGAAUGGUCGGAAAGAGAUUGACAUAAAAAAAUAUGCAAGAGUGGAAAAGAUACCUGGAGGCAUCAUUGAAGACUCCUGUGUCUUGCGUGGAGUCAUGAUUAACAAGGAUGUGACCCAUCCACGCAUGCGGCGCUAUAUCAAGAACCCUCGCAUUGUGCUGCUGGAUUCUUCUCUGGAAUACAAGAAAGGAGAAAGCCAGACUGACAUUGAGACGGGUACUUUGGUGGACAUGAAGGAACUGGGCAUAUGGGAGCCAUUGGCUGUGAAGCUGCAGACUUAUAAGACAGCAGUGGAGACGGCAGUUCUGCUACUGCGAAUUGAUGACAUCGUUUCAGGCCACAAAAAGAAAGGCGAUGACCAGAGCCGGCAAGGCGGGGCUCCUGAUGCUGGCCAGGAGUGAGUGCUAGGCAAGGCUACUUCAAUGCACAGAACCAGCAGAGUCUCCCCUUUUCCUGAGCCAGAGUGCCAGGAACACUGUGGAUGUCUUUGUUCAGAAGGGAUCAGGUUGGGGGGCAGCCCCCAGUCCCUUUCUGUCCCAGCUCAGUUUUCCAAAAGACACUGACAUGUAAUUCUUCUCUAUUGUAAGGUUUCCAUUUAGUUUGCUUCC